rnacentral:misc_RNA from 1 species
GAUGAAGAACGUAGCGAAAUGCGAUAAGUAAUGUGAAUUGCAGAAUUCAGUGAAUCAUCGAAUCUUUGAACGCACAUUGCGCCCUUUGGUAUUCCGAAGGACAUGCCUGUUCGAGCGUCAUUUCACCACUCAAGCCUGGCUUGGUAUUGGGCGCCGCGGUCGAUCCGCGCGCCUCAAAGUCUCCGGCUGAGCUGUCCGUCUCUAAGCGUUGUGAUUUCAUUAAUCGCUUCGGAGUGCGGGCGGCCGCGGCCGUUAAAUCUUUCACAAGGUUGACCUCGGAUCAGGUAGGGAUACCCGCUGAACUUAAGCAUAUCAAUAAGCGGAGGA